rnacentral:rRNA from 1 species
GACAGAGGGUGCAAACGUUGCUCGGAAUCACCGGGCGUAAAGGGCGUGUAGGCGGGACAGUAAGUCGGGCGUGAAAUCCCUGGGCUCAACCCAGGAACUGCACUCGAAACUACUAUUCUUGAGUGUCGGAGAGGAAAGCGGAAUUCCUGGUGUAGAGGUGAAAUUCGUAGAUAUCAGGAGGAACACCGACGGCGCAGGCAGCGUCCUGGCCGCUUGCUGACACUGAGGCACGAAAGCUGGGGGAGCAAACAGG